CGCAGGGUAGGGUAACAGGUAACCCGACCAGGUUCAUUACCUGGGGGAUGGCGGUUCGAGUCCGUCCCCUGCUA
rnacentral:tRNA from 1 species